CCAGGUGCUGGCGUGGGGGCUGCGGGGGCUGCGGGGGGGCGUGCGGGCGCCCAGCCUGGAGGUGCAGUGUGGGGGCCAGACCCUGCGGACCCCCCCCAUCGCCGACCUCGCCACCAACCCCAAUUUCCCCAUCAACGCCUUCCUGCUGACGCUGCAUCUCCCGGAGGAGGAGGGGUACAUGCCCCCCAUCCGGCUGCGGGUGCUGGACACGAGGGGUUUUGGGUACCGGCCCGAAGUGGGGCAGGCCUGCGUGCGGGACCUGGGGCGCUACUGCUGCCAGCCCCACGGCGAGGGGCAGCCCCACAGCUCUGGAAACCUUCCUCCUGACUCUGGCAGGACCCCAUCCCGGGGUGGUUUCUUUGUCCCUCUCCUCCCCACAGCUGCUCCCUGGGGCAGGAUAGCUCGGGUGAGUCCUCCACGUCCCCAGCACCCACCGCACAGCGGGGUCCCCC
rnacentral:lncRNA from 1 species